rnacentral:rRNA from 1 species
UACGGGGGGAGCAAGCGUUGUUCGGAUUUACUGGGCGUAAAGGGCGCGUAGGCGGUCAGCACAAGUCAGUUGUGAAAUCUCCGGGCUUAACUCGGAAAGGUCAACUGAUACUGUGCGACUAGAGUGCAGAAGGGGCAACUGGAAUUCUCGGUGUAGCGGUGAAAUGCGUAGAUAUUAGGAAGAACACCGGUGGCGAAGGCGGCCCACUGGUCCGGUACUGACGCUGAGGUGCGAAAGCGUGGGGAGCAAACAGG